UACGUAGGGUGCAAGCGUUGUCCGGAAUUAUUGGGCGUAAAGAGCUCGUAGGCGGUCUGUCGCGUCGGCUGUGAAAUCCCGGAGCUCAACUCCGGGUCUGCAGUCGAUACGGGCAAACUGGAGUACUGCAGGGGAGACUGGAAUUCCUGGUGUAGCGGUGAAGUGCGCAGAUAUCAGGAGGAACACCGGUGGCGAAGGCGGGUCUCUGGGCAGUAACUGACGCUGAGGAGCGAAAGCGUGGGGAGCGAACAGG
rnacentral:rRNA from 1 species